rnacentral:tRNA from 1 species
UAAAAAAUAAGCUAAAAAAGCUUUUAGGUUCAUACCCUAACUAUAAAGACUAAACUUUUUUUUUAA